ensembl:lncRNA
AGAGGUGGCAGGUAGCCUAGUGGUUAGAGUGUAGAGGUGGCAGGUAGCCUAGUGGUUAGAGUGUAGAGGAGGCAGGUAGCCUAGUGGUUAGAGUGUAGAGGUGGCAGGUAGCCUAGUGGUUAGAGUGUAGAGGUGGCAGGUAACCUAGUGGUUAGAGUGUAGAGGUGGCAGGUAACCUAGUGGUUAGAGUGUAGAGGUGGCAGGUAACCUAGUGGUUAGAGUGUAGAGGUGGCAGGUAACCUAGUGGUUAGAGUGUAGAGGUGGCAGGUAACCUAGUGGUUAGAGUGUAGAGGUGGCAGGUAACCUAGUGGUUAGAGCAUUGGGCCAGUAAUCGAACGGUUGUUAGAUCGAAUCCCCAAGCUGACA